AUUGAACGCUGGCGGCAGGCCUAACACAUGCAAGUCGAGCGGAUGAAGGGAGCUUGCUCCUGGAUUCAGCGGCGGACGGGUGAGUAAUGCCUAGGAAUCUGCCUGGUAGUGGGGGAUAACGUCCGGAAACGGGCGCUAAUACCGCAUACGUCCUGAGGGAGAAAGUGGGGGAUCUUCGGACCUCACGCUAUCAGAUGAGCCUAGGUCGGAUUAGCUAGUUGGUGGGGUAAAGGCCUACCAAGGCGACGAUCCGUAACUGGUCUGAGAGGAUGAUCAGUCACACUGGAACUGAGACACGGUCCAGACUCCUACGGGAGGCAGCAGUGGAGAAUAUUGGACAAUGGGCGAAAGCCUGAUCCAGCCAUGCCGCGUGUGUGAAGAAGGUCUUCGGAUUGUAAAGCACUUUAAGUUGGGAGGAAGGGCAGUAAGUUAAUACCUUGCUGUUUUGACGAUACCAACAGAAUAAGCACCGGCUAACUUCGUG
rnacentral:rRNA from 1 species